rnacentral:rRNA from 1 species
UACGGAGGGUGCAAGCGUUAUCCGGAUUUAUUGGGUUUAAAGGGUGCGUAGGCGGAAUAAUAAGUCAGUGGUGAAAUCCCAUAGCUCAACUAUGGAACUGCCAUUGAUACUGUUAUUCUUGAGUAUAGUUGAAGUGGACGGAAUGUAACAUGUAGCGGUGAAAUGCAUAGAUAUGUUACAGAACACCAAUUGCGAAGGCA